GUGCCAGCCGCCGCGGUAAUACGGAGGGUGCAAGCGUUAAUCGGAAUCACUGGGCGUAAAGCGCGCGUAGGCGGCGAGGUAAGUCAGAUGUGAAAGCCCCGGGCUCACCCUGGGAAUUGCAUUUGAUACUGUCUGGCUAGAGUAUGGUAGAGGGGGGUGGAAUUCCAGGUGUAGCGGUGAAAUGCGUAGAUAUCUGGAGGAACACCGGUGGCGAAGGCGACCCCCUGGACCAAUACUGACGCUGAGGUGCGAAAGCGUGCGGAGCAAACAGGAUUAGAAACCCGAGUAGUCC
rnacentral:rRNA from 1 species